CCUACGGGAGGCAGCAGUGGGGAAUAUUGCACAAUGGGGGAAACCCUGAUGCAGCGACGCCGCGUGAGUGAAGAAGUAAUUCGUUACGUAAAGCUCUAUCAGCAGGGAAGAAAAUGACGGUACCUGAGUAAGAAGCCUCGGCUAACUACGGGUCAGCAGCCGCGGUAAUACGUAGGGCGCAAGCGCUAUCUGGAUGUACUGGGUGGAACGGGAGCGUAGACGGUUCGCCAAGUCUGGAGUGAAAUGCCGCAGCUUAACUGCGGAACUGCAUUGGAAACUGGCGAACUAGAGUGCAGGAGUGGUGAGUGGAAUUCCUAGUGUAGCGGUGGAAUGCGUAGAUAUUAGGAGGAACACCGGUGGCGAAGGCGGCUUACUGGACCGUAACUGACGUUGAGGCUCGAAAGCGUGGGGAGCAAACAGGAUUAGAUACCCGAGUAGUC
rnacentral:rRNA from 1 species